GGGGGAUAUUGCACAAUGGAGGGAACUCUGAUGCAGCGACGCCGCGUGAGGGAAGAAGGUCUUCGGAUUGUAAACCUCUGUCCUUGGUGACGAAACAAAUGACGGUAGCCAAGGAGGAAGCUCCGGCUAACUACGUGCCAGCAGCCGCGGUAAUACGUAGGGAGCAAGCGUUGUCCGGAUUUACUGGGUGUAAAGGGUGCGUAGGUGGCUCUGCAAGUCAGGCGUGAAAUAUAUGGGCUUAACCCAUAGACUGCGUUUGAAACUGUGGAGCUUGAGUGAAGUAGAGGUAGGCGGAAUUCCCGGUGUAGCGGUGAAAUGCGUAGAGAUCGGGAGGAACACCAGUGGCGAAGGCGGCCUGCUGGGCCUUAACUGACGCUGAGGCACGAAAGCAUGGGUAGCAAAC
rnacentral:rRNA from 1 species